rnacentral:rRNA from 1 species
CCUACGGGUGGCAGCAGUGAGGAAUAUUGGUCAAUGGACGAGAGUCUGAACCAGCCAAGUAGCGUGAAGGAUGACUGCCCUAUGGGUUGUAAACUUCUUUUAUAUGGGAAUAAAAUGUUCCACGUGUGGGAUUUUGUAUGUACCAUAUGAAUAAGGAUCGGCUAACUCCGUGCCAGCAGCCGCGGUAAUACGGAGGAUCCGAGCGUUAUCCGGAUUUAUUGGGUUUAAAGGGAGCGUAGGUGGAUUGUUAAGUCAGUUGUGAAAGUUUGCGGCUCAACCGUAAAAUCGCAGUUGAAACUGGCAGUCUUGAGUACAGUAGAGGUGGGCGGAAUUCGUGGUGUAGCGGUGAAAUGCUUAGAUAUCACGAAGAACUCCGAUUGCGAAGGCAGUUCACUGGACUGCAACUGACACUGAGGCUCGAAAGUGUGGGUAUCAAACAGGAUUAGAUACCCGAGUAGUC